rnacentral:rRNA from 1 species
GACGUGCUAAUCUGCGAUAAGCGUCGGUAAGGUGAUAUGAACCGUUAUAACCGGCGAUUUCCGAAUGGGGAAACCCAGUGUGUUUCGACACACUAUCAUUAACUGAAUCCAUAGGUUAAUGAGGCGAACCGGGGGAACUGAAACAUCUAAGUACCCCGAGGAAAAGAAAUCAACCGAGAUUCCCCCAGUAGCGGCGAGCGAACGGGGAGCAGCCCAGAGCCUGAAUCAGUGUGUGUGUUAGUGGAAGCGUCUGGAAAGGCGCGCGAUACAGGGUGACAGCCCCGUACACAAAAAUGCACAUACUGUGAGCUCGAUGAGUAGGGCGGGACACGUGGUAUCCUGUCUGAAUAUGGGGGGACCAUCCUCCAAGGCUAAAUACUCCUGACUGACCGAUAGUGAACCAGUACCGUGAGGGAAAGGCGAAAAGAACCCCGGCGAGGGGAGUGAAAAAGAACCUGAAACCGUGUACGUACAAGCAGUGGGAGCACGCUUCGGCGUGUGACUGCGUACCUUUUGUAUAAUGGGUCAGCGACUUAUAUUCUGUAGCAAGGUUAACCGAAUAGGGGAGCCGAAGGGAAACCGAGUCUUAACUGGGCGUUAAGUUGCAGGGUAUAGACCCGAAACCCGGUGAUCUAGCCAUGGGCAGGUUGAAGGUUGGGUAACACUAACUGGAGGACCGAACCGACUAAUGUUGAAAAAUUAGCGGAUGACUUGUGGCUGGGGGUGAAAGGCCAAUCAAACCGGGAGAUAGCUGGUUCUCCCCGAAAGCU